rnacentral:rRNA from 1 species
UGCCAGCCGCCGCGGUAAUACGUAGGGUGCGAGCGUUAAUCGGAAUUACUGGGCGUAAAGCGUGCGCAGGCGGUUCGUUAAGUUCGUUGUGAAAGCCCCGGGCUCAACCUGGGAAUGGCAAUGGAAACUGGCGGGCUUGAGUAUGGCAGAGGGGGGUGGAAUUCCGCGUGUAGCAGUGAAAUGCGUAGAGAUGCGGAGGAACACCGAUGGCGAAGGCAGCCCCCUGGGCCAAUACUGACACUCAGGCACGAAAGCGUGGGGAGCAAACAGGAUUAGAUA